GGAGAGCCAGCAAGGGGCUAGAGUAACUCAGCAAACAAAUCUGACAGUGUUGCCUUCCAACCAGAAGAGUUAGCUGAUGUUCCCACUGAAGAAGAUAAUUUUCCACAAGACUUUUGACUUAAUCCCACAUGACAUCAUCCUAAAUAAAGCUGAGAAAUGUGGACUGGCAAGGACAUAAUGGGGAUACACGGUUGCUUGAAAAUACUGCACACAAAAGCUGCAUCCCUCUAAGCAUCUUAGCUGCUGUGAAUCUGCAGUACAGUGUUAUUGCCAUGACGUUGGAGAUGCAGGGACACUCCAGAGGUAUUUUGCAGUUUACACAAGAAAUUAUUAAUGGCCCUGUAUCCUUCAUUUCAAUCUGAAAAAGAAACCCCAAGUUCUGCACUGCUGGUGGUAGAACUUGAACC